CGGGCACCAGGCUUCUCGGCUGUGUAGCUCUUUGCCUCCUGGCAGCAGGCUGUUUUCAUGCCAAAGUCACACAGACUCCAGGAUAUUUGGUCAAAGGAAAAGGAAGGAAAACAAAGAUAAUGAACAAGUUCUUCAAGAAACGGAGAUGCACAAGAAGCGAUUCUCACCUCAAUGCCCCAAGAACCCACCCUGCAGCCUGGCAAUCCUGUCCUCGGAACCGGGAGACACCGCACUGUAUCUCUGCGCCAGCAGUCCGUCCACAGCACUGAAAUGUCAGUUCCUGUUAGCACACAAACUUGUCACAGACCCAGUUCAGGAAGCAGGCCUCGUGGUGAGAAUGAGAUGGUCACUAAAGAUUACAAAUUCAGUUGCCAUCAUUUCCCUACAGUGACAAAUACCACCCCAGCUCUUUCUAAGCCUGAGUUCAAAAUCCCAGGAGAAAAAAACAGAUCCGUCAUGAUCCAGCCAUGAACCUUCUCAUAGAGCACUCAGCAGUAGGCAUGUAUGUAUGUAUUUAAAAUCACAUAAACGUUACUUUCCCACUCA